UACGAAGGGGGCUAGCGUUGCUCGGAAUUACUGGGCGUAAAGGGCGCGUAGGCGGACAGUUUAGUCAGAGGUGAAAGCCCAGGGCUCAACCUUGGAAUUGCCUUUGAUACUGACUGUCUUGAGUACGGGAGAGGUGAGUGGAACUCCGAGUGUAGAGGUGAAAUUCGUAGAUAUUCGGAAGAACACCAGUGGCGAAGGCGACUCACUGGCCCGUUACUGACGCUGAGGCGCGAAAGCGUGGGGAGCAAACAGG
rnacentral:rRNA from 1 species